AACUACGACCAUAGCUUGUAGAAAGCACGGGAUCCCGUCCGCUCUCCCCUAGUUAACCUACAAAGCGCUGGACUAGUAUUAUGGAGGAGAAUUCGAAAGGACGCGGAGGAGAAUUCG
rnacentral:rRNA from 1 species